rnacentral:rRNA from 1 species
AGAGUUUGAUCCUGGCUCAGGAUGAACGCUGGCGGCGUGCCUAACACAUGCAAGUCGAGCGGCAGCGCGAGUAGUUUACUACUUGGCGGCGAGCGGCGGACGGCUGAGUAACGCGUGGGAAUUUGCCCCAAAGUGAGGAAUAACUGCCCGAAAGGGUGGCUAAUGCCGCAUAUGAUCUUCGGAUUAAAGGAUUUAUCCGCUUUGGGAGAAGCCCGCGUCGGAUUAGGUAGUUGGUGAGGUAAUGGCUCACCAAGCCGACGAUCCGUAGCUGGUCUGAGAGGAUGACCAGCCAGACUGGAACUGAGACACGGUCCAGACUCCUACGGGAGGCAGCAGUGAGGAAUCUUCCACAAUGGGCGAAAGCCUGAUGGAGCAACGCCGCGUGCAGGAUGAAGGCCUUCGGGUUGUAAACUGCUUUUAUAAGUGAGGAAUAUGACGGUAGCUUAUGAAUAAGGAUCGGCUAACUACGUGCCAGCAGCCGCGGUCAUACGUAGGAUCCGAGCGUUAUCCGGAGUGACUGGGCGUAAAGAGUUGCGUAGGCGGUUUGUUAAGUGAAUAGUGAAAUCUGGUGGCUCAACCAUACAGGCUAUUAUUCAAACUGGCAAACUCGAGAGUGGUAGAGGUCACUGGAAUUUCUUGUGUAGGAGUGAAAUCCGUAGAUAUAAGAAGGAACACCGAUGGCGUAGGCAGGUGACUAGACCAUUUCUGACGCUAAGGCACGAAAGCGUGGGGAGCGAACCGGAUUAGAUACCCGGGUAGUCCACGCCGUAAACGAUGGAUACUAGCUGUUGGAGGUAUCGACCCC